rnacentral:rRNA from 1 species
GCCUGUCACUGCUCUUGUUUGUUCUUGGAAGCUAAGAAGGGCUUGGCCUGGUUAGUACUUAGAUGGGAGAGUGCCUGGGACUACCAGGUGUAGUAGGCU